GUUCGGAUUGCAUCAGAUGUCUGCAAUGGAUUUCAUAUCCAUCUUUUGUUCGUAGUUCAAACUCGCUUUCAAGGAACUACAUAAAAAGAUGAUCUGGUCCAUACCUGUUCAAGUUGAAUAAUAUCUUCCAUAAUACGAUCAAGAAUGCAUUCAAUUCCAUAUUUCUUGAUAUGUUUGCUGUUGACAAUUGCAAGAAGCUGAAUGGCAUUUAAACUUGACCUCUUAUCUGGUGAUAUGUUCCCCAAAGUGUAGUAUAUGUUGCCUAUAAUCAAGGUCUUGUGAACCAUUGUAAUUUGGGGACAUAAUGGACUAUAUAGACAUAUCCUGUUCUACUUCAGUAUGAUAACUGAGACGCC